rnacentral:rRNA from 1 species
CCCGCCGGCGACCGGCGCACGGGUGAGUAACACGUAUGAAACCUGCCCGUAGCAGGGGGAUAAGCGGAAGAAAUUCCGUCUAAUACCGCGUAACAACCCAUGGAGGCAUCUCUGUGGGUUUAAAGGAAGCGAUUCCGGCUACGGAUGGUCAUGCGUCGCAUUAGCUUGUUGGCGGGGUAACGGCCCACCAAGGCGACGAUGCGUAGGGGUUCUGAGAGGGAGGUCCCCCACACUGGUACUGAGACACGGACCAGACUCCUACGGGAGGCAGCAG